GGGCGCCUCGGGCGUGGAUCCAUCCAUGCUCAACGUGCGGCCUCCUCGGCUUCGGUGCCGGGGCGGUCGCUCGGAUCGUCCGGCGUUUCCC
rnacentral:tRNA from 1 species